rnacentral:rRNA from 1 species
UACGAACUGCGCAAGCGUUAUUCGGAAUCACUGGGCUUACAGGGUGCGUAGGCGGCGGAGUAAGUAGGGUGUGAAAUGCCUUGGCUCAACCAAGGCACAGCGCUCUAAACUCCUUCGCUCGAGUGAGUCAGGGGUACGCGGAACUUCCGGUGGAGCGGUGAAAUGUGUUGAUAUCGGAAGGAACACCGGUGGCGAAAGCGGCGUACUGGGGCUCAACUGACGCUGAGGCACGAAAGCCAGGGGAGCGAACGGG